UCCAGCCGAUCCACGUGUCGCGUGAGCUUGGUGUCUCGCUAGGGUUCUAUGGUUCGAUUUCGUUCGUAUUUUCCUCCCUAGGCACUUCUGAUUCAAGCUUUUUAGGCAUAGAUGAUUCCUAGAGUGCUACGGUUCACGAGAUUUUUCAUUGCAAUGUUAGUUGUUUCUAUUGUGUACCACUGGUAGGUGUUUCUCCAUAAGAUCAGGUUCUUUGGUUGCGAUCGAGCAACGAUUAGGGGAAGAGGGUUUUGUAUUAGAACGAGGCACAGGAUUAGCCUCCGACUUGCGACCUGCGAAGGUGGAGGAGGACUAGCCAUGCUCAUAUGUUGCAUGCUCUUGAUCGGACGUGAAGACUAAUUGGUUCGGUAGUAGCUGGUCUCUAAUAUGGUCGGCAAGGUUGUGUAGUUCAGUAGUAGUUGGUUCGUAUUUUCAGUAGUAACUGAUUCAGUGGUUCAGUAGUAGCAGCAGCUUAGUAGCUGGUUCAAUAAUUGAUUAAUAGCUUAGUGAAGGACUGAAGGUCCCAUACCCAAAGCUUGAUGUGAUGUGCAGGCUAGCUGUGCGAUGACCCAUUUAGUUUAGCUUCUCAUACACGACACUGUUGUGACAAAAGGAAGAGAUGGUUAUGACUGUGUUGUUGUUGUUCUUUUUUUUUCGGAGCAGUGUUAUUGCUGUUUGUAAAGCUAUAUUUCAGAUUAAUGCUGCAUCUGCAGCUGCAGAUUAAUGCUAUUCUAAUUUCGCAUCAUGUAGACCCCUUUUUAUUUUAAAAAAUGGUACAAGAAAUUGUUGUCAGUUUAACACCAACCUUGGUACCUUUCAUUGCUAACUUCGGGGUUACAUUGAUUUUUUUUUUUUUUGUUGAGUCAACCUUUCUUUGUUGUCAGAAUAAAGCUCAUAUAUGUCAAGUUGGAUUUCAGGUGUGCUGCUUUCUGAAAUCUAAGAUUUCCGAUGCUGGAUGAAUGAAUGAAUGAUGCUUCUCUUCAUGCAACAACUUUGAUCGAUUUUAGUGACGGACAGUUGGAAAGCCAUGCAUAUAGAGUCAAUGAUAGAGUAUAGACAGCUACAGGCGAUGGAUCUGACACCCAAUAAUGUUUUAUUCAACGGAAGGUGGAGAACUUAAGGAGUGCUCUUGGAUGGUUUUGCAAUAUUAAAGAUGGCAUUAGCGGUGAUAAAGUUAUGAGGUCAGCUGAAGAGCAAUUAGAUGAGAAAUCAGUGUUGCAUCAUCCGCAAGCAAGCAGAACAUUAUUGGUGUAUCUGUGUAUGACAGAGAUAACAAUAUUUUGUUUAAUUCAGCUCUGGAAGCGCACGUAUAUAUUGCAUUGAUGGUGUGAUUCCGUAUUUAAUCAUCCAAACAUCAUAUUAAUCUGAUUCCAGGAAAGAUAU